rnacentral:rRNA from 1 species
AUGCACGCUGGCGGCGUGCCUAAUACCUGCAAGUCGAGCGAACGGACGAGAAGCUUGCUUUUCUGAUGUUAGCGGCGGACGGGUGAGUAACACGUGGAUAACCUACCUAUAAGACUGGGAUAACUUCGGGAAACCGGAGCUAAUACCGGAUAAUAUUUUGAACCGCAUGGUUCAAAAGUGAAAGACGGUCUUGCUGUCACUUAUAGAUGGAUCCGCGCUGCAUUAGCUAGUUGGUAAGGUAACGGCUUACCAAGGCAACGAUGCAUAGCCGACCUGAGAGGGUGAUCGGCCACACUGGAACUGAGACACGGUCCAGACUCCUACGGGAGGCAGCAGUAGGGAAUCUUCCGCAAUGGGCGAAAGCCUGACGGAGCAACGCCGCGUGAGUGAUGAAGGUCUUCGGAUCGUAAAACUCUGUUAUUAGGGAAGAACAUACGUGUAAGUAACUGUGCACAUCUUGACGGUACCUAAUCAGAAAGCCACGGCUAACUACGUG